CAGCGGAGGCCAAGAAAGAAUUAGAAUUAGUUGAGAAGGUUGUCGAUGAAACUGCGAAAGCUGAUGCUGCUUCUAUUGAUGAGAAGAAAAUAGAGGAAGUAAAAUCAGAAAAUCCGGAUGUGGAGGAAGUAGUAAAACCAUCAUUGGAGAGUAUUCCAUCUCCUGCAGAGAAUAAAGCAGAUGAAGAGAAAGAAGCUCCUGCAGAAAAGACAGUAGAGGAAGUACAACCAGAAACAGAGAAUAUUCCUGCAGAUGAAAAGUCAGCCACUGAAGCUCCAAAAUCUGAAGAGAAGAAAAUAGAAGAGAAAUCAGCUCCCGAGUAUCCAAAAUCUGAAGCUUCUUCUGUGGGGAUUAAAAAAACAGAAGAGAAACCAGCUACAAAGAAAGGCAAGUUUUGGUGGGAUAAGUGAACCAAAUUCACAAGUCAUGGGUACUGAUGUUAUUUUUAACAAGUUCUCUUGAGCAUGAUUUAUUUUAUUUUUACUGUUGAAUAUCAUUCUCAUUUGAUGAAAUUGGUAACGUUGUAUUUUCACCUUCAUAUUCAAAUACUUCAUCGUUUUUCCAUUCUAUACAAAUUUAUUUUCCUUAUUAUUCUAGUUUGAUCAAUACUCAUUACUGAUAUCUCUUUAUGCUGUUGAUUAAAUAGAAUCUAAUUAGAGACCUCCAUUUCUUUGAGUUCAAACAGAACAGGAAAAACGGAAUAUGUGUGUGAUACUUGAAGUUGCUUCAAAUAAUACCUACAUUAAUUAUGUAGUUAGUUGUCUAGUUGUCUUUCGAUUCAGACUUAGAGCCUAUGUUUCGAUUAAGCUAUAAAUAAGAGUGUCAGAGAUAUAAUGAAUGAGGAGAUGAAUCGACGAAGCAACUGUCCUUGAGGAGAAAAUCAUAAUGAAAAAAAAUUGAGAAGAAUUCUAAACUCAAAGUAUUAGAAGGUGUAUGAUCAAUAGGUGUUGCAGCUCCUUUGGUACAAAUGAAUAUAAGUCCCAUGGAUAGAUGAAGAGACGUAUAUAAUUCUGUAUUGCAAAUCUGUUAGAAACUCCACGUAAACUGUUGUAUUUAUGUUUAAAAUACAGUAUCAUUUACAGUUUACACUUCAUGAUUUAAUUAUAUAUAUUUACAUGUUUUGAAAGCAUAUAGGUAUUAUGUUGUAUUUUUAAAGUAAUGAAUGAUUUUCAUGAGUUCUAUGAGUAGUGUUUCGCUCGAUGAAAUUUUACGAAAACGGAUGCCAGUCGCUCGUCCAGAAUUGGGUCAUAAUACUCUUCGCAUGAAAUAAGGUAGUUCUUUGGGACUAAAUACUAAUUCCUCGUGUGUGGAGAUUCUGAAUUGAAAUUAGAAAAUUAUACUGCUACAAGGUUCUCUUAGGAUAAAGAUGAUAGCAAAUCUAUUUUUGGUUAUGUAUUCACUUUAAAUAGGGAUGUAGUGAGUUGGAAAAGUUCCAAGCAAAUACCAAUAGCUAAUUCAGUGACUAAAAUAGAAUAUGUAGCAGCUAGUGAAGUGGCUAAAGAAAGUACAGACGUCUCUGUACCAAUCUAAAAAGAUGCUAACAGUAACACAACAUUGAGUCCAUUAGCCCGCCGAUUAACAUAUAGCCAUAUAUCAGUCUGAAUAAAGUUGAAGAUUCCACCAAGUCUAAAGAAGAUUUUAACAAAAUAGAAAGAGAAAACAAAAUCUUUUUGUAAUCAUCUUCAUUUAUCUUUAUGCUAUCAAAUACAAAUUACAAUAUGAUCUAUCCAAAAUUAAUCAGAGUACUAUGUCCAUUGCUAAAGAACAGAGAGCAGCAACAGCAGAAAUUAGUACAGUUUCUAUCCAGUUAGCUCUAGUAAGAUACAAUUACUACAGUUUGUGCAACGGGCUACAUAAAUUAGGUUACAGAAUCAUUUUCCUGUAUCAGUUACUUCAAUCAAUAUCUAUACACAACUGCCAACGCUUACUACUAAAGAAAUUUCACGAAACUACUAUCUUCAUUCCCUGUUCUACUGCUAUAUCUUAUAGGAUUCUCAUAUGUCAACCUACUUUAUACCUAAUCAAACACUUGAUCCAAAAAAAUGAGUUUCGAAUAUAAAAUUAAUCUUCGCUAAAGAACAUCGCUAGAAAUUUUCAUCAAAUUUAUUUCCAUCGCUAGAAAGUAGAAAUCGCUAGAAAGUAGAAACAUACCUUUGAAAAUUGAAACUAUCGCAAGUUCGCAACAGCAGCAUCUUCGUUUGCCCGGAAUUUGUGAGGACUGAGGAGUGAGGAGUCGGAGCUCGGAAGUCGAAAAUCGCCAGAUCGAAAAUCGCCAAAUCGCCGCUCAACUGUACUGUAAUCUAAAUUGCUAAAUGCUAAUGCCCUAACCACUGACCAGUAACCAGCUAACCUUUAGAGUUUAGGCUUGGGCUUGGGCAUAAGAAUUAAGAUGGGCUUGGGCGUUUGGGGAUGGGGCGAUGGGCUGGGUGGGCAGUAAUAAUUAAGAAAAUGUCUUUUAAAAUCGGAUUUUCGGUAUUUCGGUAUACCGAAAUUUCAGAAUUUUAAUACCGAAGACCGUACCGAAAUACCAAAAUUGCAAUACCGAAUUGGACCGAAAUACCGAAAAAAACCGAAACCGAAAUACCGAAUUAAUUCGGUCCGGUUCGGAAUUCGGUUUUUCGGAUUUUAUGCCCACCCCUAACACCUAUGAACCUAGAGCUCUGAUACCAACUUGUCACGACCCCAAUCUCCCCUCAUAAGAUGUCGUGAUGACACCUAAUUUCUAAGGCUAGGUAAGCCUAACAUACAUGAAGAACUAACAGAAAUAAUAAUAGAACUUUAAAUUUAAACCAACCAGCUAUCAUAAAAGAUAAAAAGAACUCCCCAAUAUAGCUGACAAUAACUCCUAAAUAUGGUAAGACUAAGUCAUAAGUUGUACACGAGUAUACCGAAACAUCCCUACUACAUCACUAUAAUAAAGAGUGUGUAAUAGAAAAACAUGGCCAGAGGGUGUCAUGACCCAGACUUCCUACCCUCGGGAGUCGUGAUGGUGCCUACUCGUGAAAGCUAGGCAAGCCGAGCGUUAUAGAUCUUAUUACCCUUUUUCCUCAACCUUUUAACAAUUUCAAUUUAACAUGCGAUCAACAACGAAAUAAUAAUAAUAAUAAUAAUAAUAAUAAUAAUAAUAAUAAUAAUAAUAAUAAUAAUAAUAAUAAUAAUAAUAAUAAUAAUAAUAAUAAUAAUAAUAAUAAUAAUAAUAAUAAUAAUAAUAAUAAUAAUAAUAAUAAUAAUAAUAAUAAUAAUAAUNNNNNNNNNNNNNNNNNNNNAUAAAAGAAAUGCAGAAGACGAAAUCUGAUAACUUAAACAAAUACUAGUGUGAAACUCCAAAAUACAACUCUACCCAGAACUGGUGUCACAAUAUUACGGACCAUCUACGAAUACUACAAACAGUGGUCUGAAAAGAAAGAUACAAGUCUGUCUCCGAAGUAAAUGAAAACAGAAUAUAUAGGAUAGAAGGGGACGCCAAGGCCUGCGAACGUCUGCAGGACUACCUCGGGUCUCCGCUGGACUAAAGGCAGCAACCUCACUAUGGUCUAAAAGCUCCGGUACCGAGAUCUGCACACAGUGCAGAGUGUAGUAUCAGCACAACCGACCCCAUGUACUGGUAAGUGUCGAGCCUAACCUUGGCGAAGUAGUGACGAGGCUAGGACAAGACUACCAAAUAAACCUGUGCAGUUAAAGCAUAUACGACAAGUAAUAAUAACAGAAACUAGCAGUUAAAGAUGGGAAGGGGAACAUGCUACGGGGAAUAUCAAGUACCAAUAGAAUCUCAGGAAAAAAAUAUAAAGAACAUCUUAAAUUUCGCAUCAGUAAGAAUAAGAAAAACAAUAACGAAUCAAUAUCCACUUUUAUUCUUUAUUGUUGCAGCGCUCAACCCGAUCCAAAUCAUAUAAUACUUUUGCGGUGUGCAACCUGAUCAAAAUCAUAUAAUACUGUUGCGGCGUGCAAUCCGAUCCAAAUCAUAUAUCACUAUUGCAGCGUAAAACCCAACCCCUUCUGUCCUUCCUUAUUACUCCUUGUUGCUGCGUACAUCCCGAUCCCAAUAUAAAAAUCAACACCAAUCACAAAAGAAUCCCCGCAAGGGAACAAUAAGGAAACAACAAUAUCCCAGCAAGGGAAUCAACAACAAGAAUAAACACAUUUCGGCAAGGGAACCAACAGUAAGAAUUAAAUACAUCCCGGCAAGGGAAUCAGCAAUAACCAAACUUGCACCAACAAUUAACUUCACAAACGAAACCUCAACUGGAGCCAAUGCUCAACAAUAAACAAAUACCACGAAGAUAAUCUUAAUCCUUGCCCAACACGGAGAAUCGACAAUUUAGGCAUUUGUAGUACUUAUUAAGAAACAUAACGAUUACAAUUUAAGACUCACAUGCAUGCUUGACAACGACGUAUAGAUACUCGUCACCGUAUCUAUACGUCGUACACUACACUAGCACAUAGCAAAUAAAGCACAAUACCUAUUCCCUCAAGCUAAGGUUAGACCAAAUACUUACGUCGAACUUCCACGGCCAACACAAGCCUCAAACACCGCUUUUCCUUUAGAAUUCUCCUCCAAGUUACUUGUAUCUAGCCCAAAUUAAUUUAACAACAUCAAUAAAUGCUAAAAAAUUCAUACCCAAUACUUAAUUAUAGGUUUUCUAUCAUUUCGCCCAAAAAGUUAAAAAUCAACCCCAGGCCCACUUGAUCACCCACGAGCCCGAAUAUGCAAUUAGUUUCGAAAUCCGACCCCAAAACGAGGUCUAAAUUUCAAUUAUUCAAAAAACCUUAACUCUACCCAAAUUCCCUAAUUCUACCAUGAAAAUUCUUGAUUUUUGAUUAAAAUGUGAUAAAAAACGUUGGGUAAUUGAAAGAGUAAAGUUUAGAAUUGAUUGCCAACACUUUAGGGAUAAAUUUGUGUGAAGAAAAUCGCCUCUAGCCCUUGGUAGUUCGAAAAUAUGAUAAAAAUGAGUUCUGCCCGUUUUUGGUUCUGUUUUAAAAAGAUUGUGCAGGCCUUCUUCGCAUUCGCGAAGGGCCUGCCGCGUUCGCAAAGGGUAAGCUCUCCUGGCCUUCGCGUUCGCAGACAACAGUACACGUUCGCGUAGAAGAAAUGACAAAUUCCCAGCCCACCUCUAUUUUACACUACGUGUUCGCGAUGAGCAACCCCCAGUGCUCCGCGUUUGCGACUAUGGCUAUGCAUUCGCAAUGGACAAAACCCUCCCCAGCCCAGCUUGUACUUUGCAUUCGCGUGAGCUCCAUCGCGAACGCGAAGAACAACACAUCAGUACACUAGAAGCAGAAAAACAACAGAAAACCCUAAGUCCGAAACACCCCGAAACUUAUUCGAAACUCACCCGAGCCCUCGGGGCUCCAAACCAAACAUGCAUACUAACUCAAAAACAUCAUAUGGACUUACUCGUGCGAUCAAAUAGCCAAAUUAACAUCUUUAACAACGAAUUUAACAUCAAAAUCAAAGAAAAAUCUCAAGAACUCUUAAGUUCAAAUUUUAACAACCAAGGGUCCGAUUCACGUCAUAUCAAUUCCGUUUCUUACCAAAUUUUACAGGCUCAGCUUAAAUACCAUAUAUGACCUAUGUCGAGCUCUAAAACCAAAAUACGGGUCUGAUACCAUCAAAUUCCAACACAUUUAAAUUUCUAAAAACUCUUAUAAUUUCAGUUAAACAAUUUCCUUCAAAAAUUCAUUUCUCGGGCUUGGGAUAUUGGAAUUCAAUUUCGGGCAUACGCCCAAGUCCCAUAUUGAUUUUACGGACCCUCCGGGACCAUCAAAUCACGGGUUCGGGUCCGUUUACCCAAAAUAUUGACCGAAGUCAACUUAAAUUCAAUUUUAAAGGCCAAAUUAGCAUUUUUAUCAUAUUUUCACAUAAAAGCGUUCCGGAUAUAGGCCCGGACCAUGCACGCAAAUCGAUGUGAGAUAAAAGGAUGCUUUUAAGCCUUCGAAACACAGAAUUUACUUGUAAAUCAAGUGAUGGCCUUUUGGGUCAUCACAUCCUCCACCUCUAAAACAACCGUUCGUCCUCGAACGGACAUAGAAAAAAAGUACCUGAGUUGGGAAAAAGAUGGGGGUAUCGGCUCCGCAUAUUGGACUCGGACUCCCAAGUAGCUACCUCGGCAGGCUGACCUAUCCACUGAACACGAACAGAAGGGUAACUCUUCGAUCUCAACUGACGAACCUGUCGGUCCAGAAUGGCCAUCGGCUCCUCCUCAUAGGUCAAAUCCUUGUCCAACUGGAUAGUGUUAAAGUCUAACACGUGGGAUGUAUCGUCGUGAUACUUCCAAAGCAUGGACAUAUGAAACACUGGGUGUACAGCUGAUAAACUCGGUGACAACGCAAGACUGUAAGCCACCUCUCCCACUCGAUCAAGAAUCUCAAAAUGACCAAUGAAUCUAGGGCUUAGCUUGCCCUUCUUCCCAAAUGUCAUCACGCCCUUCAUGGGUGACACCUGGAGUAACACCCGCUCUCCGACCAUAAAUGCCACAUCACGAACCUUAAGGUCAGCAUAACUCUUCUACUCGGACUGAGCUGUACGACGCCUAUCCUGAAUGAUCUUAACCUUGUCCAAGGUAUCCUGAACUAAAUCUCUACCCAACAACCGAGUUUCCCCCAGCUCAAACCACCCAACCAGCAACCGACACAGCCUACUAUAUAAUGCCUCAUAGGAGCCAUCUAAAUGCUCGACUAAUAGUUGUUGUUGUUGUAGGCAAACUCUGCUAAUGGCAAGAACUAAUCCCAUGAACCUCCAAAUUCCAUAACACAUGCUCGGAGCAUAUCCUCCAAAAUCUGGAUAGUACACUCGGACUGUCCGUCCGUCUGGGGAUAAAAUGCUAUGCUCAACUCGACCCGUGUUCCCAACUCAUACUGAACUGCCCUCUAGAAAUGUGAGGUAAAUUGCAUACCUCUGUAAGAAAUGAUAGACACGGGCACACCAUGAAGACGAACAAUCUCCCGGAUCUAGAUCUCACAUAACCGCUCCGAGGAAUAGGAAAAUGCCACAUGAAUGAAAUGCGCUGACUUGGUUAGCCUAUCAACAAUAACCCAUACUGCAUCGAAUUUCCUUUGAGUCCUUGGGAGUCCAACAGCGAACUCCAUAGUGAUCUACUCCCACUUCUACUCAGGAAUAUCAGUCUUGUGAAACAAACCACCUUGCCUCUGAUGUUCAUACUUUACCUGCUGACAAUUCAAACACCGAGCUACAUACGCAACAAUAUCCUUCUUCAUCCUCCUCCACCAAUAAUGUUGCCGCAAAUCCUGAUACAUCUUAGCAGCGCUUGUAUGAAUAGAAUACCGGGAACGAUGGGCCUCCUCUAGAAUCAACUCAUGAAGCCCAUCCACAUUAGGCACACAAAUACGACCCUACAUCCUCAAAACUCCAUCAUCUCCAACUAUAACCUGCUUAGCACCUCCAUGCCGCACUGUGUCUCUAAGGACAAGCAAAUGAGGAUCAUCAUACUGUCGAUCUCGGAUACGCUCAAAUAAUGAAGAACGAGCGACUAUGCAAGCUAGCACACGGCUAGGCUCAAAAACAUCCAACCUCACGAACUGAUUAGCCAAAGCCUGAACAUCCAAAGAAAGCGGUCUCUCACCGACUGGAAUAUACGCAAGGCUGCCCAUACUGGCUGACUUCCUACUCAAUGCAUCGGCCACUACAUUGGCCUUUCCCGGAUGAUAUAAGAUGGUGAUAUCUUAGUCUUUCAAUAGCUCCAACCACCUCCUUAUCCUCAAAUUUAGCAUCUUUUGCUUGAACAAGUAUUUCAAACUCUUAUGAUCCGUGAACACCUCACACAACACACCAUAUAAAUAAUGCCUCCAAAUCUUCAGCGCGUGAACGAUGGCUGCUAACUCCAAAUCAUGAACUGGAUAAUUCUUCUCGUGGAUCUUCAAUUGUCGCGAAGAAUAUGCAAUAACCUUGCCAUUCUGCAUCAAUAGCGCACCAAGUCCAAUAUGCGACACAUCACAAUAUACUGUAUAUGACCCUGAACCUGUGGGUAAAACCAACAUUGGCGUCGUAGUCAAAACUGUCUUUAGCUUCUAAAAGCUCGCCUCACACUCAUCCGACCACCUGAACUAGGCACCCUUCUGGGUCAACCUGGUCAUCGGGGCUGCAAUAGAUGAAAACCCCUCCACAAACCGACGGUAAUAACCUUCCAAACUCAAGAAACUUCGGAUCUCUAUAGCUGAUGUGGGUCUAGGCCAGUCCUUGACUGCUGUAAUCUUCUUAUGAUCCACUUGAAUACCCUUUGCUGAUACAACGUGACCCAAGAAUGCAAUCAAACUCAACCAAAACUCACACUUUGAAAAUUUGGCAUACAACUGACUAUACCUCAGAGUCUGAAGAACGACUCGAAGAUGCUGCUCGUGCUUCUCUCGACUACUGGAAUAGAUCAAAAUAUCAUCAAUGAAGACAAUCACAAAGGAAUCCAAAUAAGGCUUGAACACUCAGUUCAUCAAGUCCACAAAAGCUUCUGGGGUAUUUGUCAACCUAAAUGACAUCACUAAGAACUCAUAAUGCACGUACCGAGUGCGAAAAGCUGUCUUAGGGACAUCAGAUGCCCUAAUCCUUAACUGAUGGUAGCCAGAUUUCAAAUCAAUCUUCGAAAACACCUUGGCAUCAUGAAGCUAAUCAAACAAAUCAUCAAUCCUCGGCAAUGGAUACUUAUUCUUGAUUGUGACCUUGUUCAACUGUCGAUAAUCUAUACAUAUCCUAAUCAAUCCGUCCUUCUUCUUAACAAAGAACACCGCCGUACCCUAAGGCGGGACACUAGGUCUAAUGAAGCCCUUAUCAAGAAAGUCUUGCAACUGUUCUUUCAAUUCUUUUAACUCUGGCGGGGCCAUACGAUACGGCAGAAUAGAAAUGGGCUGAGUGCCCGGAGCCAAAUCAAUGCAAAAUACAAUAUCCCUGUCGGGCAGCAUACUCGGCAGGUCUGGAGGAAAGACCUCUGGAAACUCACGAACAAUAGGCACAAAAUCCAUAGAAGGAACUUUGGCACUAGAAUCACGAACAUACGCCAAAUAGGUCAACAUCCCUUCUCAACCAUACGCUGAGCCUUCAUAUAUGAGAUAACUCUACGGGUGGAAUAACCAGGAGUCCCCUUCCACUCUAAACGAGGCAAACCCGGCAAGGCUAAGGUCACAGUCUUGGCAUGACAGUCCAAGAUAGCGAGGUAAGGUGAUAACCAGUCCAUCCCUAAUAUGACAUCAAAAUCGACCAUAUCCAAAAGUAACAGAUCUACUCGGGUCACAAAACCCCCAAUCACAACUAUACAUGAAUGAUGGACACGAUCUACCAUAAUAGAAUCACCCACCGGUGUAGACAUAUAUACAGGAGCACUCAAAAAAUCACUAGGUAUGACCAGAUAUGGGGCAAAAUAAGAUGACACAUAGGAGUAUGUAGACCCUGGAUCAAAUAGAACUGAAGCAUCUCUAUUACAGCCCAAAACGGUACCUGUGAUAACUGCAUCAGAGGCAUCAGCCUCAGGCCUAGCUAGAAGAGCAUAACAUCGGGGACUGGGCCCCACCACUCUGAGCUACGUCCCUGGGAUGGCCUCCUGCUGGCUGGCCUCCACCUCUAGCGGCCUGACCUCCACCUCUAAUACCUCUACCUCCACCUAUAGCACCUUUACCCCUACCCUUAGCUGGCUGAGCAGGUGGUGGAACACCCGGUACAUAAACCAUGGCGCGGGAACCCUGCUACUGCGACUGAGCACCCACUAAUCUCGGACAAGCCCUCCGGAUAUGACCAUACUCACCGCACUCAAAGCAUCCACCUGAGUGCUACGGUUGAGGAAACUGAGACUGACCCUGGCGGGCCAACUGACCAUGAGAAUAGCUCUGAAGAGAAGGUGCUCUGAUAGGAGCUAAUGGAGCACGGUAGGACUGCUAAUCAGAAUACUGCACAUAAGAACCACAUCCACCUGGAGCACCAUGAGAAGUCUGAAGUGUUAAAUGAAACGGCCUGGGAGGAUGGCCCCUACCAAAAGAAUCCCUGCCUCCAGAUGAGGCACCACUGAACCUGCCUGAAUGAUGGGGCCUCUUGUCAGACCCCUGACCACUCCCUUGCAAUAGAACCAUCUCAACUCUCCUGGCCACAUUGGUCGUAUCCUGAAAAGAGAUCUUGCUCCCAGUCUCCUUAACCAUCUACAAUCGAAUCGGCUGAGCGAGUACCUUAAUGAACCUCCUCACCCUAUCUCUCUCGGUGGAAAGUAUAAUAAGAGCAUGACGGGCCAAAGUAAUGAAUCUUGUCUCAUACUGAGUGACGGUCACAGAAUCCUACUGGAGACGCUCAAACUGCCUCCGGUAGUCCUCCCCCUAAGCGAUAGGUAGAAACUUCUCCUGAAUAGCCAAGAGAACUGAUCCCAAGUCAAGGAAGGCGACCCAGCUGACCUAGCCAAACAAUAANNNNNNNNNNNNNNNNNNNNNNNNNUUUGUCUAAAUAAUCCUAGGGGUCCUCUGAAGAUGUACCACCAUAAGUAGUAGUGAACAACUUGGUGAACCUGUCCAAUCUCCACAAAGCAUCAGCAUGCAUAGCUGCUCCAUCACCGGUUUGAGCUACUACACCCAGCUGAACUGCUCCAACUGGCUGAGCUACUGGAGUCUGAAACUGGGGACCAUCUGCUCUGGAGUGCGAGUCGUGGAAGUUUGUGCUACUCCCCCAUCCUGAGAGACGGCUGGUGCUACAGGAAGUAAGCCUGCCCGGGUAAUACUCUCCAUAAGGCCCAUUAGAUGGACCAGAGCAUCCUGAAGUACUGGGGUAGCAAUGAACCCCUCUGGGACCUGAGCUGGGCUCACCAGAACUGUUUGGGCCGGAACCUCAUCAUCAAACUCUACCUGAGGCUCUGCCGCUGGUGCUGCUGCUCUAGGAUGAGCUCUGCCCCUACCUCGGCCCCUAGCAUGGCCUCGACCUCGUUCUUUGCCCCUCAUGGGAACUACUGCUGGGGUCUCGGGUUGCUGGUCAGUGGAUGAAGAAGCAUGUGUUCUCGCCAUCUGCGAAAGAACAAAGUAAAAAUUAGCAUUGAUAAAUCAAACCGCACGAUAGAGAUGAAUAGAAGUGAAACUGUUCCUAACUCUAUAGCCUCUAGGGAUAAGCACAUACAUCUGUAUACCGGUCCCUAAGACUCUACCAAGCCUAUCCAUGAAUUGUGAGACCUAAGCAACCUAUAGGUCUAAUACCAACUUGUUACGACCCAGACUUUCCACCCUCGGGAGUCGUGAUGGUGCCUACUCGUGAAAGCUAGGCAAGCCAAGCGUUAUAGAUCUUAUUACCCUUUUUCCUUAACCUUUUAACAAUUUCAAUUUAACAUGUGCUCAACAGCGGAAUAAUAAUAAUAAUAAUAAUAAUAAUAACAAUAAUAAUAAUAAAAGAAAUACGGAAGACGAAAUCUGAUAACUUAACCAAAUACUAGUGCGAAAACUCCAAAAUACAACUCUACCCAGAACUGGUGUCACAAUAUCACAGACCAUCUACGAAUACUACAAAUAGUGGUCUGAAAAGAAAGAUACAAGUCUAUCUCUGAAGUAAAUGAAAACAAAAUAUAAAGGAUAAAAGGGGACGCCAAGGCCUGCGGAUGUCUGCAAGACUACCUUGGGUCUCCGCUGGACUAAAGGCAGCAACCUCGCUAUGGUCCAAAAGCUUUGGUACCGAGAUCUGCACACAGUGCAGAGUGUAGUAUCAGCACAACCGACCCCAUGUGCUGGUAAGCGUCGAGCCUAACCUCGACAAAGUAGUGAUGAGGCUAGGACAAGACUACCAAAUAAACCUGUGCAGUAAAAGCAUAUACACAAGUAAUAAUAACGGGAACUAGAAGUUAAAGAUGGGAAAGGGAACAUGCUACAGGGAAUAUCAAGUACCAACAGAAUCUCAGGAGAAAAACAUAAAGAACAUCUUAAAUUUCGCAUCAGUAAGAAUAAGGAAAACAAUAACGAAUCAAUGUCCACUUUUAUUCUUUAUUGUUGCGGCGCGCAACCCGAUCCAAAUCUUAUAACAUUGUUGCGGCGUGCAACCCGAUCCAAAUUAUAUAAUACUAUUGCGGCGUGCAACCCGAUCCAAAUCAUAUAUCACAAUUGCGGUGUGCAACCCGACCCCUCAUAUCUUCCCUUAUUACUCUUUGUUGCGGCGUGCAACCCGAUCCCAUAUAAUAUUGUUGUGGCAUGCAACCCGAUCCCAAUAUACAUAUCAACACCAAUCACAAAAGAAUCCCGGCAAUGGAACAAUAAGGAAACAAUAAUAUCCCGACAAGGAAAUCAACAACAAGAAUAAACACAUCCCGGCAAGGGAACUAAUAGUAAGAAUUAAAUACGUCCUGGCAAGGGAAUCAGCUAUAACCAAACUUGCACCAACAAUUAACUUCACAAAUGAAACCUCAACUGGAGCCAAUGCUCAACAAUAAACAAAUACCACGAAAAUAAUCGUAAUCCUUGCCCAACACGGAGAAUCAUUUGUAGUACUUAUUAAGAAACACAACGAUUACAAUUUUAGACUCACAUGCAUACUUGACAACAACGUAUAGAUACUCAUCACCACACCUAUACGUCGUACACUACGCUAGCAAAUAGCAAAUAAAGCACAAUACCUAUUCCCUCAAGCUAAGGUUAGACCAAACACUUACGUCGAACUUCCACGGCCAACACAAGCCUCAAACACCGCUUUUCCUUUAGAAUUCGCCUCCAAGUUACUUUUAUCUAGCCCAAAUUAAUUUAACAACAUCAAUAAAUGCUAAAAAAUUCAUAUCCAAUGCUUAAUUGUAGGUUUUCUAUCAUUUCCACCAAAAGUCAAAAAUCAACCCCGGGCCCGCUUGGUCAAAACUCGAGGUUCGGACCAAAACCUGAUCACCCAUUCACCCACGAGCCCAAAUAUGCAAUUAGUUUUGAAAUCCGACCCCAAAAUGAGGUCUAAAUUUCAAUUAUUCAAAAAGCCCUAACUCUACCCAAAUUCCCAAUUUCUACCAUGAAAAUUCUUGAUUUUUGAUUAAAAAGUGAUGAAAAACAUUGGGUAAUUGAAAGUGUAAAGUUUAGAAUUGAUUACCAAUACUUUGGGGAUGAAUUUGUGUGAAGAAAAUCUCCUUUAGCUCUUGGUAGUUCGAAAAUAUGAUAAAAAUGAGCUCUGCCCGUUUUUGGUUCGAUUUUAAAAAGACUGGGCGGGCCUUCUUCGCGUUCGCGAAGGGCUUACCGCGUUCGCGAAGAGCAGCCUUCCUCAGGCUUAAGCGAUCGCGAGAUCUCUUACGCGUUCGCGAAGGGUAAGCCCCUCUGGCCUUCGCAUUUGUGGACAACAGUACACGUUCACGUAGAAGAAAUGACAAAUUCCCAGCCCACCUCCAUUUUAAACUACGCGUUCGCGUGACACCGGUCGCGUUCGUGAUGAGCAACCCCCUAGUGCUCCGCGUUCGCAACUGUGGCGAUGCAUUCACGAUGGACAAAACCCUUCCCAUCCCAGCUUGUACUUCGCGUUCGCCUGAGCUGCAUUGCGAACGCAAAGAACAACAUAUCAGUACACCAGAAGGAGCAAAACAACAGAAAAUCCUAAGUCCAAAACACGCUGAAACCUAUCUGAAACUCACCCGAGCCCUCGGAGCUCCAAACCAAACAUGCAUACUAACUCAAAAACAUCAUAUGGAUUUACUCGUGUGAUCAAAUAGCCAAAUUAACAUCUUUAACAACGAAUUUAGCAUCAAAAUCAAAAAAAAAUCUCAAGAACUCUUAAGUUCAAAUUUUAACAACCGAGGGUCCGAUUCACGUCAUAUCAAGUCCGUUUCAUACCAAAUUUUAUUAGCUCAGCUUAAAUACCAUAAAGACCUGUACCGGUAUUUGGAACCAAAAUACGGGCCCGANNNNNNNNNNNNNNNNNNNNNNNNNNNNNNNNNNNNNNNNNNNNNNNNNNNNNNNNNNNNNNNNNNNNNNNNNNNNNNNNNNNNNNNNNNNNNNNNNNNNNNNNNNNNNNNNNNNNNNNNNNNNNNNNNNNNNNNNNNNNNNNNNNNNNNNNNNNNNNNNNNNNNNNNNNNNNNNNNNNNNNNNNNNNNNNNNNNNNNNNNNNNNNNNNNNNNNNNNNNNNNNNNNNNNNNNNNNNNNNNNNNNNNNNNNNNNNNNNNNNNNNNNNNNNNNNNNNNNNNNNNNNNNNNNNNNNNNNNNNNNNNNNNNNNNNNNNNNNNNNNNNNNNNNNNNNNNNNNNNNNNNNNNNNNNNNNNNNNNNNNNNNNNNNNNNNNNNNNNNNNNNNNNNNNNNNNNNNNNNNNNNNNNNNNNNNNNNNAACAAUUUUCUUCAAAAAUUCAUUUCUCGGGCUUGGGACCUCGGAAUUCAAUUCCAGGCAUAUGCCCAAGUCCCAUAUUUUUCUACACACCCUUCGGGGCUGUCAGAUCAUGGGUCCGGGUUUGUUUACCCAAAAUGUUGACCGAAGUCAACUUAAAUUUAAUUUUUAAAGGCUAAAUUAGCAUUUUUAUCACAUUUUCACAUAAAAGCGUUUCGAAUAUACGCUCGGACCAUGUACGCAAAUCGAGAUGAGAUAAAAGGAGGCUUUUAAGGCCUCAAAUCAUAGCUUUUACUUUAAAUAAAGUGAUGACCUUUUGGGUCAUCACAGAUGGUGAGUCUGAGGCCUGCGAAAGCCGACAUGUAUAUCUUGAAAUCUUCGAUCUGAAAUUUCUACUCACUGGUGCCUAACCUGGUAUAAGGUACCUAGAUUUGCACAAAAAGAUGUGCAGAAGCGUAGUAUGAGUACACCACAACGGUACCUAGUAAGUAUCAAGUCUAACCUCGAUAGAGUAGUGAGGAGGUCAGGUCAAGACACCUACUAGGAUAAGAAAAGAAAUUGAACAACUAUAAUACAGUCUAAGAAUGUAAACAAAGAAAAUGAGGCAAUAAAGAAAUACAACAAGAUAGAAUACAACUGAAUUUAAAGUUAUAAAUGCAACAAGGAAGGAACAUAUAAUAAGAAUAUCAAGGAAACAAUGCCAACAAAUUCAAGUGAGGUAAAUGAGAGAUAACAAGAAGAAUCACAACCGAAGUACCGCCUCGUACUCUCAUUUCACAAUCACAUUCUCAAUCUUUUCUUAUAUCACCGCGGGAGCCUUACAUUUAGUUUCAAAAAUUAUUUUUCCCGAAAGAGCUACCCAUGUUUUAGCACAUCUUAUCACACCGUGUGGCUUCAAGUAGUUCCCCUACUAGCAAUACGCAUAUCAAGCCCACCUAUCUCACCACAUGCGUAUCAACCCCGAUCUAUAUACCACCGCAUGCGUAUCAAUAUCACAACAUAUCACAACUCACACCUCAAGUGCCCAAAUUCCACAACUUGUCAAAAGAAUUAACAAUAUCAAUGUUUUCACAACAAAAUGUCCAUGGCUCAACCACAAUAUGUACAUAUCACGACCCAAGUUCUCCCUCUGUGAACUAUCGUGAUGGAACCUAGUCUCUACGACUAGGUAAGCCUAACAAUUUGCGAUAAUGAAAAGAAAACAUGAAAACUAAUAAUUUAAUAGGUAAAUUUAAUUAAAAGGUUUAGAUGCCGCUCGACAUAUACAAUAAACACUCUCAAAACUGAACAUAAGUACUCCCAAAACCAGGAAUAUCAUGAGUCACAAGCUACAAAAGUACAUAGUGCUUCUAAACACCAAGAAACUACCAAUGAGGAAAAUAUAGUGAGUCUUUAACUUAAGGAAGAAUAGAGAGGGACUUUUAGGUCUGCUGACGCAGCAGAUAUACCUCGAAGUCUCUAAGAUCGACUCACCUCACUGGAAAUAUGGCUGGAAAGAGGUACCUGGAUCUGCACACGAAAAACAUGUGCAGGAAAGGGCAUGAGUACACCACAGCAGUACCCAGUAAGUGCCAAAGCCUAACCUCAGUCGAGUGGUGACAAGAUCAGGUCAGGGCCCUACUGGUUUAUAUAUAUAACAAGGUAAAACAGUAUAAAAUAUCACAACAAAGAUAAAUGCUAAUAGUCAAAGAAAAUAAAAUCACAGAAAAACAACAAUUCAGUACACAGAAAUAGCAACAGGGGAUCUCUUAAAAUACCGUCCCGUAGUCCCAAACGUAAAUGUACAGAGGAUCUCCCGGGAUACCGUCCCGUAGUCCCAAUCGUAAAUGUGCAGGGGGAUCUCCCGACACACUAUUUCGUAGCCCCAAAGUAAAUAUCCAGUAUAUGGGGAUCUCCCGAAAUACCGUCUCGUAGUUCCAAACAUAAACAUGCAGGGGGAUCUCCCGAAAUACCGUUCCAUAGUCCCAAUGUAAUUACACAACUCAUUCAAUAUAAACAACAGUUUCAACAAGGAAAUCAAUAGUUUGAUUAAGUUCGUAUUAAGAAGACAGGAAAUUCUUACUUUAAACAUGUUGCACAGAAUCCAUGUAGGCAGCUAGAGCAAUUAAGACAAUUAAUUCACAUAAGCAUGCUUUUCUAGCUAAACAGAAUGGCUACAUAUACUAGUAUUGCUCAAUUAAAGGAGAACAUAGGUAUUUACUUAAUGAAAACGAGGUUUUUCAACAAAUAGCCCAUGUACGCACUCGUCACCUCAUGUACACGGCAUUCAUAUAUCAAACAGUACCAAAUUUAAAGAAGAGUUCUCCCACAUUAGGUCAGGCAAGCCACUUACCUCGAAUCAAGUUCAAAUCAAUCCGAAAUCACGCUCUUUCCAUGAGUAUCCAACUCUGAGUGGCCCAAAUCUAAUCAAAUCAAUUAUAUAACGUAAAUAUAGCUACAAGCAACUAAUUUAGCUAAUGAAUUCAAAGCUAAGGCAACAAAAUAGGAAAACACCCAAAAAUCUUCCAGGCCCACGUCUCGAAAUGGGGUAAAAGUCACAAAUUAUGAAUUCUCGUUCACUCACGAGUCUAACCAUACCAAAUUCACUCAAAUCCGAUACCAAAAUCUCGAUCAAAAUCCUAAAUUUGGCCUAACAACUUUUCUCAAAUUUUCCCAAUUUUUUUACCCCAAAUACGAAAUUAAAUGAUGAAAUUAAACUUAGAUUAAUGUGAUAUAAUCAAAAAAGGAGUUAGGAAUCAUUACCCCCAAAAUUCCUCCGAAAAUUUCUCCAAAUUUUGCCUUCUACCGAGCUCUCAAUCAAAUUUUGGAGUUAUGAACUCAAACCCUCGAUUUCUCUCUUUUCUACCCAGCGAUUUCCGCUUCUGCGCUCCUAGGACCGCAUUUGUGGUCCCGCACUUGCGGAAGAAUCAUCGCAGGUGCGAAAGCAACUUGACCAGGCUGGGGACACAUCUGCGGGCACUGGGCCACAUCUACGAGCCCGCUUCUGCGGUCACCCAGCCGUUGUGGUUCCAACUACCAAGGUCCAUAUCCACAUCUGCGGUUCCCUAGCCACUUUUGUGUCUCCGCACCUGCGUUCCAAAUCCGUAGGUGAGAAUACAAUAGGUGCAGCAAACUUCAGCAAAGGCAUAAGUCCCAAACCAAAACCGUUAAGCAUUCGAAACUCACCCGAGGCUCCCGGGACCUCAACCAAACAUACAAACCAAUCCAAAAACAUCAUAUGAACUUAGUCGAUCCUUCUAAUCACAUAAAACAAUGCUAAAACCACGAAUCACCCUCCAAUCCAAACUAAAUGAACUUGAAAUUUCAAAAUUCUACAACCGAUUCCGAAACCAACCAAACCAUAUCUGAUUGACACCAAAUUUUGGACACAAGUCAUAUUCAACACUACGUACCUACUCCAACUUUCGGAAUCAGAUUCCGACCCCGAUAUCAAAAAUUCCAUUAUCGGCCCAAAACUCCAAAAAUUCAACUUUCGCCAUUUCAAGCCUAAAUAAGCUACGGACCUCAAAAACACAAUUCUGACAUGCCCCUAAGCCCGAAAUCACCAACGAAGCUAACAUAAUUGAUAGAAUUCCAUUCCAGAGUCGUCUUCACACUGUUCCGACUAUGGUCCAAAUUCUAAGACUUAAGCUCUUAUUUAGGGACUAAGUGUCUCAAAAUACUCUAAAAUUCAAAAUGAACCAUCCCGGCAAAUCACAAUAGUAGAAAAAGACAUGGGGGAAGCAGUUAAUAGGGCAUCGGGCGUUAAUUCUUAAAAUGAUUGGACGAGUCGUCACAUCCUCCCCCUCUUAAAACAUUCCUUCGUCCUCGAAUGAGCAUAGAGACAUACAUGAAUUGGUGAAAAGAUGAGGAUAACGGCUGCGCAUAUCCUGCUCGGUCUCUCAAGUCGCCUCCUCAACCGGCUGACCCCACUACUAAACCUUUACUGAUGUAAUACUCUUUGACCUUAACUUUCGAAUCUGCUUGUCCAAUAUAGUUACUGGCUCCUCAACAUAAGAUAGAUCCUUGUCCAACUGGACUAAGCUAAAAUCCAACACAUGCGACAGAUCACCGUGAUACCUCCAGAGCAUCGAAACAUGAAAUACCGGAUGAACUCCUGCCAAGCUAGGAGGUAAGGCAAGCUCAUAAGUGACCUCCCCAACACGCUGCAACACCACAAAGGGGACAAUAAACCUUAGGCUCAACUUUCCCCUCUUUCCAAAUCUCAUAACGCCCUUCAUAGGCGAAACCCAAAGCAAGACCCACUCUCCAACCAUAAAUAAAACAUCGCAAUUCUUCCGGUCCGCAUUACUCUUUUAUCCGGACUGAGCUGUGUGAAGUCUAUCAUGAAUCACCUUAACCUUCUCAAAAGCAUCCUAAACCAUGUUUGUGCCCAAUAAUCUAGCCUCACCCGGCUUGAACCAACCCACCAGGGACCUAUACCGCCUACCAUACAGAGCCUCAUAUGGUGCCAUCUGAAUGCUGGACUGAUAACUAUUAUUGUAGGCAAACUCUAAAGUGGAAAGAACUGAUCCCAAGAACCUCCAAACUCUAUCACACACGCACAUAGCAUAUUCUCAAGAAUCUGAAUAGUGCGCUCGGACUAUCCAUCUGUCUAGGGGUAAAAUGUUGUGCUCAACUCCACCCGAGUACCCAAAUCAUGUUGUACGACUCUCCAGAACCGUGAUGUAAACUGAGUACCUCUUUUUAAAAUGAUGGAAACUGGAAUACCAUGUAGGCGAACAAUCUCUCGGAUAUAAAUCUCAGUCAACCGCUCUGAAGAAUAGGUAGUACACACAGGAAUGAAGCGCGCGGACUUGGUCAGUCGAUCCACAAUCACCCAAAUAGCAUCGAACUUCCUCAAAGUCCGUGGAAGUCCAACUAAAAAAUCCAUGAUGAUCCACUCCCACUUCCAUUCCGGAAUCUCUAUCUGCUGAAGCAAGCCACCCGAUCUCCGAUGCUUAUAUUUCACCUACUGACAAUUGAGGCACCGAGCUUCAAACCCAACUAUAUCUUUCUUCAUCCUCCUCCACCAAUAGUGCUGCCUCAAAUUCUGGUACAUCUUUGUGGCACCCAGAUGGAUGGAAUACCAUGAACUGUGGGCCUCCUCUAAAAUCAACUCCUGAUGCCCAUCAACAUUAGGCACACACAUCUAGACCUAUAUCCCCAAUACCAUGUCAUCACCAAUGGUCACAUCUCUAGCAUCAUCAUGCAGAACCUUGUCCUUGAGGACACACAAAUGAGGGUCAUCAUAUUGGCGCUCUCUGAUAAGAUCAAACCAGGAAGACCGAGAAACCAUACAAGCUAGGACCCGACUAGGCUCCGAAAUAUCCAAUCUCACAAACUAGAUGGCUAAGGCCUGAGCAUCCAUCAUCAUGGGUCUCUCUGCUACUGGUAGAUAAGCCAAACACCCCAAACUCUCCGCCUAGUGACUCAAAGCAUCGGCCACCACAUUGGCUUUCCCCGAGUGGUAUAAAAUAGUGAUAUCAUAAUCCUUAAGCAGCUCUAACCACCUCUUUUGACGCAAAUUAAGGUCCUCUGCUUUAACAGAUGUUACAAACUCCGAUGAUCAGUGUAGAUCUCACAAGGGACUCUAUACAAAUAGUACCUCCAAAUCUUCAAGGCAUGAACAAUAGCAGCUAACUUAAGGUCGUAGAUAGGAUAGUUCUUUUCAUGCACCAUCAGCUGUCUGGACGCGUAGGCAAUCAUCCUACGGUCCUGCAUCAACACUGUGCCGAGGCCAAAUUGCGAUGCAUCACAAUAGACCAUAUAAGACCCCGAACCUGUAGGCAAUAUCAAUAUUGGGGUUGUAGACAAAUUGUCUUGAGCUGUUGAAAGCUCUUCUCACACUCUUCCGCCCACCUGAACGGGGCACCCUUCUGGGUUAGCCUAGUCAUAGGUGCUGCAAUAGAUGAGAAUCCCUCAACAAAUCGACGGUAAUAACCCAGCAAACCAAGAAAACUAUGGAUCUCUAUAGCUAAGGAUAGUCUGGGCCAACUCUGCACUACUUCCACUUUCUUAAGAUCCAUUUUGAUCCCUUUACUCGAUACUACGUGACCCAAGAAUGCUAGGGAAUCCAACCAUAACUCACAUUUUGAGAACUUCACAUAUAAUUUCUUUUCUCUCAAGGUCUGAAGCACUGUCCUUAGGUGUUGCUCAUGAUCUUCCUAACUCCAGGAGUACACAAGAAUGUCAUCAAUAAAGACAAUGACGAACGAGUCAAGAUAUGGCCGGAAUACAUUGUGCAUCAAAUGCAUAAAUAUUGUUGGGACAUUAGUCAGCCUAAAGGACAUAACAAGGAACUUGUAAUGACCAUACCGAGUCUUGAAAGCAGUCUUCGGGAUAUCUGGCUCCCGAAUCUUCAACUGAUGAUAACCUGAACGCAAGUCAAUCUUAGAAAACACUUGAGAACCCUGUAACUGAUCAAAUAUGUCAUCAAUACGAGGCAAAGGAUACCGGUUCUUCACUGUAACUUUGUUCAACUAGCGAUAAUCAAUGCACAUACGCAUAGAACCAUCCUUUUUCUUCACAAACAAGACAGGAGUACCCCAAGGCGACACACUAGGCCUGAUAAAGCCCUUAUCAAGCAAUUCCUAUAAUUGUUCCUUCAACUCAGGAGGAGCCACACGAUAAGGAGGAAUAGAGAUGGGUUGAGUGCCCGGCAACAAAUCAAUGUUAAAAUCAAUAUCUCUAUUGGGCGGCAUGCCCGGAAGAUCAGCUGGAAACACAUCAGGGAAAUCCUGCACUAUUGGGACUGAAUCAACUUUAGGGGUAUCAAUACUGACAUCUCUCACAUAAGCUAAAUACGCGUCACACCCCUUCUCAACCAUUCGAUGAGCUUUAAUAAAUGAAAUAACUCUACUGGGAGUGUAAUCUAAAGUACCCCUCCACUUUAAUCACAGUAAACCUGGCAUAGCCAACGUCACGAUCUUGGCGUGGCAAUCAAAAAUAGCAUAAUGGGGCGACAACCAGACCAUGCCCAAAAUAACAUCAAAAUCUACCAUGCUGAGCAAUAAUAAAUUGGCUCUGGUCUCAAAACCACUAAGAGCAAUCAAACACGGCCGAUAAACGCGGUCCACAACUAGAAACAUAAAUAAGGUAGCUCAAAGAAUCCUGAGAUACGCCCAAAUACGGGGCAAAAUAAGAGGACACAUAGGAAUAAGUGGAGCCUGGAUCGAAUAGAACCGAUGCAUCUCUAUGACAGACCGGAACAAUACCUGUAAUGAAAGAAUCGGAAGCAACAACCUCUGUAUGGGUAGGAAGGGCAUAGUAUCUAGCCUGAUCUCCCCCUAUAGGGCAACCUCUACCUCCUCGACCUCCACCUCUGGCUGGCUGAGCAGGCGGAGUAGAAACCGGUGUUGUGAUCAUAGCUUGGAAACCCUGUGGAUCACGCUGUGGCUAAGAAGUUUAUGAAGGUGCACCCCUCCUAAGUCUAGGGAAAUCCCUCACUAUAUGGCGUAUGUCGUCAUACUCAAAACAAGCUUUGGGAGGGCGUGGCGGCUGUGACUGGCUCGAGCCAGGUCUACUAGAUUGACCACUGAAAGCACCCCAUGCAAGAGGCGCACUAGAUACUGGAGGUGCAUAAUAAAGCUCAUGAGGUCUAGGAGGAGCUGGAAUACCACUAUCUGCUGGAAGAGUUAAAUGAAUAGGGCGACUCACAUAACCCCUACCAUGACGAACUGUAAUUAAAGUACGGGCACCAGAAUAAUGGCCCGACUCUCGAGACCUCUUGGCCUCUCUCUCUCUCUUUCAUAUUCCGAGCAAGCAUGCCCUCUACUCUCCUAGCAAUAUCCACCUGCUGAUAGGCGAUAUCCAUCUCUAACUCCCGGGCCAUGGUAGACCUGAUGUUCUGAAUGAGCCCCUCAAUAAAUCGGAAAACUCUCUCACGAACUGUAGAAACUAUGGCUGGUGCAUGUCUAGCCAAGUCACUAAAACGGACAGCAUACUCCAAAACAGUCAUAGUACCCUGGCGCAAAUGCUCAAACACCACACGUCAUGUGUCCCUGAGGCUCUGAGGGACAUACUCCCUCAAAAACAUAUUCGAGAACUGGGUCCAUGUAAAGGAAGUUGCCUCAGCCAGACUGUCCAACUCAAAAGUACGCCACCAUUGAUAGGCUACCCCUCGAAGCUGGAGGUCAGUGAAAGAAACCCCACUCAACUCUGAUAUGCCCAUAGUGCGGAGGAUACGGUGGCACUCCUCUAGAAAUCCCUGAGCAUCCUCUGAUGCUAGACCACUAAAUGUAAGAGGGUCGUACUUCUUGUACCUCUCAAGCCUCUGUUGCUCCUCCUCUGAAACUGUUGCCCUACCUUCGAGCUGAGCUGGGGCUACAAGCAGUACCGGUAUAACCUCUGGGAUCUGAUCAACCUAAAUCUGUUGCUCUGGGGUGCGGGUGGUAAGAGUAUGUGCUCCUCCCCUGCCCUGAGAUGUGGUUGCAGCAAGGGGAAUCAACCCUGCCCGAGCUAAAGUGUUGUACAUGCUUAUGAACUAUGAAAGGGUAUCUUGGAGAGCUGGAGUAGUAGUGGUAGUAGGCGUAUCAGGCACCUGGGCUCCGGCUGGAUCUGUUGACUCCUCCGUAGCAACUCGCACGGGUGCUCUAGCUACACCACAUGGGCAUCCUCGGCUUCUACCCCAGCCCCGACCUCUAGCGACUCUAGCAGGGGGCGCGAAUGCCUAGUCAUCUCUUGUAGCACGUGUCCUCACCAUGUGUGAGAGAAUAAAAGACAGAAGUUUAGAAUUUUUAAGUCAAUAAUCUCGCAUGACAGGGAAUCAAACAAAGUGAAAUUUUCCUAACAGUUCAAUAGCCUCUCGAAGAUAAGUACAGACGUCUCUGUACCGAUCCACGAGACUCUAAUAAACCAGCUUGUAACUCAUGACUCCUAUGAACCUAGAGCUUUGAUCCCAACUUGUCAUGACCCAAGUUCUCCCUUCGUGAAUUGUCGUGACGGCACCUAGUCUCUACGACUAGGUAAGCCUAACAAUUUGCGGAAAUAAAAUGAAAACAUGAAAACUAACAAUUUUGACAGGUAAAUUUAAUUAAGAAGUUUAGAUGUCGGUCGACAUAUACAAUAAAUACUCUCAAACUGAACAUAAGUACUCCCAAAACACGGAAUAUCAUGAGUCACAAGCUACAUAAGUACAUAGUGCUUCUAAACUCCAGAAAACUACCAACGAAGAAAAUACAGGAAGUUUUUAACUUAAGGAAGAAUAAAGAGGGACUUCUAGGUUUACGGACGCAGCAGAUAUACCUCUAAGUCUCUAAGUUGCCUCGCCUCACUGGAAAUAUUGUUGGAAAGAGGUACUUGGAUCUGCACACGAAAAACAUGUGCAGGAAAGGGCAUGAGUACACCACAGCGGUACCCAAUAAGUGCCAAGCCUAACCUCGAUUGAGUGGUGACGAGAUCAGGUCAGGGCCCUACUGGUUUAUAUGUAUAACAAGAUAAAAUAGUAUAAAAUAUCAUAGCAAAGAUAAAUGCUAACACCAACGAAAAUGAAAUCAUAGAAAAACAACAAUUCAGUACACAAAGAUAGCAACAGAGGAUCUCCCAGGAUACCGACCCGUAGUCCUAAACGUAAAUGUACAGAGGAUCUCUUGGGAUAUCGUCCUAUAGUCCUAAUCGUAAAUGUGUAGGGGGAUCUCCCGGAAUACCAUUCCGUACUCCCAGAGUAAAUAUCCAGUACAGGGGAUCUCCCGGGAUACCGUCCCGUAGUCCCAAACAUAAAUAUGUAGGGGGAUCUCCUGGAAUACCAUUAUGUAUCCCAAAUUAAAUACAUAACUUAUUCAAUAUAAACAACAGUUUCAACAAGGAAAUCUAUAGUUUUGAUUAAGUUCGUAUCAAUAAGACAGGAAAUUCUUACUCUAAAAAUGCUGCACAGAAUCCAGGUCGGCAGUUAAAGGAGUUAAGACAGUUAAGACACAUAAGCAUGUUUUCCUAGCUAAACAGGAUGGCUACAUAUACUUAAUGAAAACAAGGUUUUUUAACAAAUAACCCGUGUACGCACUCGUCACCUUACGUACACGACAUUCAUAUAUCAAACAAUACCAAAUCCUAAGGGGAGUUCCCCCAUACAAGGUUAGGAAAGCCACUUAUCUCAAAUCAGGCUCAAAGCAAUCCGAAAUCACGCUCUUGCCACGAGUAUCCAACUCCGAGUGGCCCAAAUUUAAUCAAAUCAAUUACAUAACGUAAAUAUAGCUACAAGUAACUAAUUUAGCUAAUGAAUUCAAAUCUAAGGCAAAAAAAUAGGAAAACACCCAAAAAUACUCCCCAGACCCAUGUCUCAGAAUCAUGUAAAAGUCGCAAAUUAUGGACACUCGUUCACUCACGAGUCUUAACCAUACCAAACUCACUCAAAUCCGAUACCAAAAUCUCGAUUAAAAUUCCAAAAUUCGACCUAAGAACUUUUAUCAAAUUUUCCCAAAAUUUUCACCCCAAAUCCGAAAUUAAAUCUUGAAAUUAUGCUUAGGUUAAUGGGAUAUAAUAAAAAAGGAGUUAGGAAUCAUUACCCACAAACUUUCUCCGAAAAUCUCUCCAAAUUUUGCCUUCUACCGAGCUCUCAAUCAAAUUUUGGAGUUAUGAACUCAAACCCUCGAUUUCUCUCUUUUCUACCCAGCGAUUUCCGCUUCUGCGCUCCUAGGACCGCAUUUGUGGUCCCGCACUUGCGGAAGAAUCAUCGCAGGUGCGAAAGCAACUUGACCGGGAUGGGGACACAUCUGCGGGCACUGGGCCGCAUCUGCGAGUCCGCUUCUGCGGUCACCCAGCCGCACCUGCGGUUCCAGGUUCCAAGGUCUAUAUCCGCAUUUGCGGCUCCGCACCUAUAGUCCAAAAUCCGUAGGUGCGAAUACAUCAGGUGCAACAAACUUUACCAAAGGCAUAAGUCCCAAACCAAAUCCGUUAAUCAUCCGAAACUCACCCGAGGACCCCGAGACCUCAACCAAACAUACAAACCAAUCCUAAAACAUCAUACGAACUUAAUCGAUCCUUCUAAUUACAUCAAACAAUGCUAAAACCACGAAUCACCCUCCAAUCCAAACUUUAUUAACUUUAAAUUUCAAAAUUUUACAACUGAUGCCGAAACCAACCAAACCAUGUCCGAUUGACCCCAAAUUUUGCAUACAAGUCAUAUUCAACACUACGGACCUACUCCAACUUCCGCAAUCGAAUUCUGACCCUGAUAUUAAAAAUUCCCCUAUUGGCCCGAAACUACAAAAAUUCAACUUUUGUCAUUUCAAGCCUAAAUAAGCUACGGAUCUCAAAAAUACAAUCCCGACACACCCCUAAGCCCAAAAUCACCCAACGGAGAUAACAGAAUCGACGAAAUUCCAUUCCGGAGCCAUCUUUACACUGUUCCAACUAUGAUCUAAAUUCUAAGACAUACGCUCUCAUUUACGGACUAAUUGUUCCAAAAACACUCCGAAAUUCAAAAUGAACUAUCCCAAAAAAUCACAAUAGCAUAAAAAGACACGGGGGAAGCAGUUAAUAGGGGAUCGACACAUUAAUUCUCAAAACAACCGACCGGGUCGUCAUAGUACAUGAAUCUCAAUAAUAGCAAACUGAAAUUGAAUAGAUCAACAAGAAUGGUAUUUCAACAAAUGAUGACUUUGCUUCAAUGUGAUCACAACUUUUAUAACUUCAACACCAAGAACUUAACAAGAAGCUAUUUCGUGAAAACAACAACUUCAAGUAACCAAUUCAACAAUUAAGGAAGGAAGUAAAGGAUAGUAAGGAAAACAAUAACUUCAACUAAAACAUAUAAGAGCAAUUAACAAGUAAAAGGUGGAACAAGUGUUAAAAUUGUCAAAUAAGGCAUGCGGGGGUAGAUCAAUACGUGUAAGGGUACACUAACAAUGAAAUUAUAAUAUGCUAUGACAAUUCAAUUAAAGUCAUGAAAAGAGUCCUAGUAGCUUAAACCAGUCAAUUACCACAUAUAGUCCGUGCACCCACUUGUCACCUUGCGUAUACGGCUUUCACAUAUUACAAAUAGCACAAUCAACCUAAAUCCUAAGGGGUAAUUCUCCCUCCUCCCCCCCCCCCCCCACAAAGUUAGGCAAGAUACUUACCUCAAACAAGCUAACACAAUCUAUUACUAAGUCUUGUCCGCGAAUAUCCAACUUCGAUGGGCUCGAAUCUAGCCAAAAUAAAUUUAUACCAUAAAUACAAAUCACAUAAAACUAUUUCAGAUAAUAAAGUUGUAAUUUUUAAAGAAAAUUAAAAGGUCAACUCAAAAGUCAACCUCGGGCCCACAUCUCGAAACCCGACCAAACUUACAAAAUUCGAACACCCAUUCAAUAAUGAGUCCAACCAUGAUAAAAUUAUUCAAUUCCGACCUCAAAUCGACCUUCAAAUCCUCAAAAUAUAGCUUAGGGAGUUUUCACAAUUUUUCCAACUCAAAGCAAUAAUUAAAUGGUAAAAGCAAUGAUGGAUUCAUGUAUAAUAAUCAAAUCUAAGUCAAAAUCAUUUUCCCCGAUCAACUCCUUGAAAAUAUCUUCCAAAAUUGCCCAAAACCGAGGUCUCUAACUCAAAACAUGAAAAAUGGAACAAAACCCGUGAUUGAAAAUUAAAUAUCUGCUGCCCAAUCAUUACCUUACGCGAUCGCGAAAAAAUAAAUGCGAUCGUGGAGAACAAAUUACAGCAACUCACAAAAUACUCAUACGCGAUCGCGAGACUCCAAACAUGAACGCGAUGAAUAGUGGUCUCCAGGCUAUGCGAUCGCGGUCAUGGCCACGCCAACGCAAUGAACAAUAUGUGUCUUCCCACAGCCUCUCUUUCUUUCUACGCGGUCGUGAUAUCUUAAUCAUGUUCGCAGUGCACAACCUUCCAACCUUCCGCGAACACGUCCUCAAUAAGCACCCUACGCAAUCGCAAAGAGAAAAUUCCCAUCUUCCAAUAAGCACCCUACGCGAUCGCGGGUUAACCUUCGCGAACGCAGUGAAGGAAACCAGAAACACAGAAGACCAACAAUCUCAUUACAUGAACAAAUGGUCUGAACUCAAUCCGAAAUACACUUAGAGCCUUCGGGACCCCGUCCGAACAUACCAACAAGUCCUAAAAUACAAUACGAACUCGCUUGAAGCCUCAAAUCACAUCAAACAACACCAAAACCAUGAAUCACACAUCGAUUCAAGCCUAAUAAACUUCCAACUUCUAAAACUAAUGCCAAAACAUACCAAACCAACUCCAAAUGACCUCAAAUUUUGCAUACAAGUCACAAAUGACACAACAGACCUAUUCCAACUUUUGAAACCAAAAUCUAAAUCCGAUAUCAACAAAGUCAACUCUCGGUCAAACUUAUCAAUCUUUCAAAUCCUUAACUUUCUAACUUUUGCCAAUUCAAGCCAAAACGACUUACAAACCUGCAAAUCAAUAUCCAGACAUACGCCUAAGUUUGAAAUCACCAUAAGAAGCUAUCAAAACAUUUAAAACUCCAUUUCAGGGUCGUUUACACAAAAGUCAACCUGUGAUCAAUUCUUUCAACUUAAGCUUCCAACUUUGGGACUAAGUGUCCCAUUUCACUCCGAACCUCACCUGAAAAUAAAUCACCCACCCCAGCAAGUCACAUAACCACAAUAUAACAUAGAGGAGGCAAUAAAUAGGGGAACGGGGCUAAUCUUUACAUCCUCCCCUUCUUAAAACAAACAUUCGUCCUCGACCGAGUAUAGAGACAUACCUGAGUGAUGAAAAGAUAAGGAUAAUGGCUACGCAUAUCAUGCUCGGUCUUCCGUCGCCUCAGCGACUAGUUGACCCCUCCAUUGAACAUUUACUGAAGUAAUGUUCUUUGACCUUAACUUUCGGACUAGCCUGUCCAAGAUGGCCAUCGGCUCCUCAACAUAAGACAAAUUAUUGUCCAAUUGGACUGAGCUGAAAUUUAAGACAUGAGACGGAUCACCGUGAUACUUCCUAUUACAUCCUAUACUUUAAUAUUAGGAUGAGUCGUAGUAAUCCAUAUGAGCUUGAAGGGAUUAAGAUCAUUCAUGAGAUUAUAGAGGAUUUGUGACUAUAUUAUUGUAAGACCCCGCAAGUUUAACAACCUUGAUACCGUUAUAUACAUUUGAUAUGGUAUUUUGAGUGGAACAUUUUUGUAAAAAGUUUGAAAAAAUAUGCUUUAUAAUAUUACUACUUCCGAAUAUGCUUUAAAUUAUACACAUAAUAUGAGAAAGUUUAUGAGAUUUUCUUUAUUGUAAAGAUAGAAACUAUUUUCUCACAAGAAAAGAAGGUUAUCUUUUUACCUUUUUAAGAACUAAACAUACGAAAAUUUGUACUCUUUAUGUGAGAUUAGGAAAAUUAUAAGUUGAGAAAAUAUAUGUAUUUUUAUAUGGAUGUUUUAAUAAAAUAAUAGCAUAUGUAUUGAUUUUAUAUGGUACCACAUGACCAUGAUAGUAAGAUCUAUAAAGUGUGUUAAAAGUGAGUAAUAUUUUAAGUAAUUUGAGAUAAUUCUUAAUUAUGUGGAUAAUUAGGUAAUUAUGAAUUUUUAGUGGGAGAUUAAUUAAGUAAUUAAGAUAUUUUGGAUAAGCUCUCGAAACCCAAACAUGGAAGCCCAAGGAGUCUUGGCUAAAGUAACUCUUAAUUCACAUUUCAAGGUAGCAAAGUUAGGGUGUUUAGUGGCUUAGUCAUCCCAAAGAAGUGGAGCCCACACCUAAAGACUUAAAUAACCAUUCUAAUUCAUUUUGUGUCUCUACAAAAUAAUGAAAAACUUUGUGAAUCCAACAAUAUGAAAUGAGUUAGAUUGGUGGGAUUCUCAAAUAUGAUUUCAUGUAAAUCCUUUACAAAGCAAGUUAGAUGGCAACGUGAGUUACUUCAUCAAAUUCAUACAAGACUACAAAUUAACGGAUGGAAUUCAAGGAUUUGUAGGAUCCCUUACAAUGCUUAACAACGUGAGAAUUGUGAUUUUAAGGGAGUACGGUGUAAUCUUUCUCAAGAAUAUCAUAAGGAUUUUUCCCUACUCUGAUCUUGUCGUCACAUGUUUUGUUGUGAUUGUCGUGUGUUAGAGGGAUUAUCCUGAGAACCGACUCAGGUAUGUUAAGGAAAAUCCUUCCUUCUUUUGGCAUGAUCCAAGUAACGAUACGUAAUCGUAAUGUUAUUCCACUGGUUCUACUCUUAGCAGUUAAGGAUGUCCAUGUUAUUCAUUCUUCUAAAAUGAUAUUCAAGCAUGUCUAAACAUGUUCCUAAGUCUCUAUUGAGGUAUAUGAUAAUGAUGUUAAUGUUUAUAAUACAGUGAUACAUGAAUCUUCAUGCAUAUUCAUUUAUCACCGUGCUACGGUCGGUUGGGCAGUCAUGCAUAUUUAUUUACCACCAUGCUACGGCCGAUUGGGUAGUCAUGCAUUUACCAUCAUGCUAUGGCCGGUGAGGAAAUUACCACCGGUUGGGAAAUUAUGCAUUUACCACCAAGCUACGGCCGGUUGGGCAGUUACACAUUUACCACCGAGCUACGACCGGUCGGGCAGUCAUGCAUUUACCACUGAGCUAUGACCAGUCAAGCAGUUACCAAUGAUCAGUUGGGCAGUCAUACAUCAUACAAUAUGGAUAAUAGUCUCAAAGAGAAGCAUUAUAUAUAUAAGUAUAAUAAGUAUGCAUAUACGGUGGCACUUUAGAGAUUAGGGUUGAUUCUUAUAUGUCUUUAAUUAAUGUUGACUUAUUGUUAUGUUUCAGUUGCACCUUACAUACUCGGUACAUUAUUCAUAUUGACAUUCUUUUGUUAGGGAUGCUACAUUCAUGCCUGAAGGUAUACAUAAUCAGAUGGACGAGCCCUCAUAGUAGACGAGGUUACCAUUCAGCGAAGGAUCGAUAAGACUUCAUUUCAUUCGGAGUGCAGCUGAGUCUAUAAGUCUUCGUGUUAGAGUUUUGCUACAGACUUAUGGGUAGGUCGGUACCCUGUCGCAUUUGAUGUCGAAUAAUCUUAGAGGCUUUGUAGACAGAGGUUCAUUUUGUACAGUAUGUCAAAGGUCUUGACGGCCCAUAUAUAGUCAUAUUUUAAGAAAGAUGGUUAAUUGAUACAGUGUUUUCCUACUUAUAUUUAUAUGUUACGAGUUGUGGGCAUGUUUUUCCAUGAUAGUUACAAAGAAAAAAAAGAGUUACAGAGGGGUUCGUUGGGGCUAGUACAGCACCGGGUACCAGCCACACCUCCUCGGGUUAGGGCAUGACACUUACGGAGCAUGAAAAUAUGGAACACCAGAUGAACUGCAGAUAGACUAGGUGGCAAUGCAAGCUUGUAGGCCACCUCCCACUCUCUCAAGGAUCUUAAAAGGAUAGAUAUACCUAGGGCUUAACUUGCCCUUCUUCCUGAACCUCAUCACACCAUUCAUGGGUGAAACCCGAAGCAAAACCCUCUCUCCAACCAUAAAUGCUAUGUCACGAACCUUCCGAUCGACAUAACUCUUCUGCCUAGACUAUGUUGUACAAAACCAAUCCUGGAUUAACUUGACCUUCUCCAAGGCAUCUCGAACCAAAUCUGUGCCCAACAAUCUAGCGUCACCAGGCUCAAAUCACCCAACUGGAGAAUGACAUUGCCUCUUAUAUAGGGCCUCAUAAGGAGCCAUCUGAAUACUCGACUGGUAGCUAUUAUUGUAGUCAAACUCCGCAAGCAGCAAUAACUGAUCCCAAGAACCCCCGAAAUUCAUAACAAAAACACGAAGCAUAUCAUCUAAGAUCUGAAUGGUGCGCUCGAACUUUCCGUCCAUCUAGGGGUGGAAUGUUGUACUCAACUCAACCCGUGUGCCUAACUCAUGCUAUACGGCUCUCCAAAAGUGCGAUAUAAACUGUAUGUCCUGGUCAGAGAUGAUGGAUACAAGCACGCCAUGAAGUCGGACAAUCUCGUGGAUAUAGAUCUUAGACAACUACUAUAAAGAAUAGAUAGUCACCACCUAAAUGAAAUGAGCCGACUUGGUCAACUUAUCCACAAUCACCCAUAUAUCAUCAAAUUUCUUGUGAGUCAGUGGGAGCCCAACAACAAAGUCCAUGGUAAUACGCUCCUAUUUCCACUUGGGAAUCUCAUAUCUCUGAAGCAACCCACAUGGCCUAUGAUGCUCAUACUUCACUUGUUGACAAUUUAGGCACCGAGCUACAUACUCCACAAUGUCUUUCUCAUUCUCUUCCAAAAAUAGUGCUGCCUCAAAUCCUGAUACAUAUUAGCGGCACCGGAAUGAAUGGAGUACCACAAACUGUAGGCCUCCUGAAGGAUCAACUCACGUCACCCAUAAAUAUUGGCACACAUAACCGACCCUACAUCCGUAACACACUGUCAUCUCCGAUAGAAACCUCCUUGGCAUCACCGUGCCCUACAGUGUCCUUAAGGACAAACAAAUGGGGGUCCUCAUACUGACGCUCUAUGAUGCAAUCAUAUAAAGAAGACCAAGAAACCAUGCGAGAAAGAACCCGACUAAGCUCCGAAAUAUCCAAUCUAACAAACUGGUGUGCCAAGGCCUGAACAUCCAAUGCUAAUGGCAUCUUCUCUACCGGUAAAUAUGCUAAACUACCCAUACUCUCCGCCUUUGGACUCAAGGAAUCAACCACCACAUUGACCUUCCUAGGAUGAUAUAGAAUUGUGAUAUAAUAGUCUUUAAACAACUCUAACCACAUCCACUGUUGCAAAUUAAGAUCCUUCUAUUUGAACCGAUACUGGAGACUCUGGUAGUCAAUAUAGACCUUACAAGGGACAUAGUACAAAUACUACCCCCAAAUCUUCAAGGCAUGAACAAUAGCUACCAAUUCCAAGUCGUGGACUGGAUGAUUCUUCUCAUGGAUUUUUAACCGCUGAGAUGUGUUGCUCCCAAACGCACACGCAAGUAUACGUGGUCGACAAGUAAUAUAGGAUUUUAAGUCCAGAUAUCGUACCCAUAGGGAUUUGUGAUUAACUAUAAACUAAAUUAAACCAAACAAUUAAUCUAUUCAAGCGAAUCCUAAAGUAUGAAUAUUUAACUAAAAUUAAUCUAAAGUAACAAAUUAAGAGAUCAAAGAAAACAGCGACAAGCUUAACGACGAAUUCAAUAUGGGUAAAUAUUCUAGAGUUAUGGGUUAGCUAACAAUCACGUUGAGUUUUCCACUUAAAUCGUCUAAUUAAUUUAUCUGGUUUAUUAGUUGACAGGGUUAAUAUUGCUCGUAGCCUUCUUCCAAAGUACAACUCACCUAUUCAAGCUAAUCUAAUGCCUAUAUUCCUAUGGAAUUAGAAUUAACAAGAACGCAUUAAUAAUUCCUGUAUAGUAACCAAGCAAGGAGAUUAGGUAUAUUCCUAUCCUAACAGCAAAUACGCCCUCCUAAGAGUUAAGAUCUUGCUCUACUCAAUCUUAUAUGCAAUCUAGAAUNNNNNNNNNNNNNNNNNNNNNNNNNNNNNNNNNNNNNNNNNNNNNNNNNNNNNNNNNNNNNNNNNNNNNNNNNNNNNNNNAAGAGAAGAGAAGAAAAAAUAGUUAGAAGCCUCCUCCAAGCGUGGUGUGUUCUCCUUACAUCCAAAGUGUGUCCCUAGGUCUAAGAUCUGUCAAAAUUCUAUUCGAUCUCCCCAAAAUAACGUUUUUCCAUGUAUAUAUACCAAGUAGGGUCGGGCCCAGACGAAAACACCUUCUCCUGCACGAAAUAGGACUCUGGCUCUGUGAAAUUUGUGCAGCCGCGCCGCACCAUGCGUCGCGCUAAUGCAGUUUAUCAGCAGCCUCAACUUUUCGUAUCAGGCAGCAUUUUACAUUGUUGCACCGUGCCUUGCGGCGUCCCAUGCGGCGCAGUAGUGUAAUUUUCUCAGAGUGAACUUAUUUCGUCCUCUUUUAACAUCCGGACUUGGUAUACGACCUCCGAACACGAUCCCGGCUUAAUGUCUUGGGUUUUUACUCAGACUUCAAAGCUCCAAAUCACUUGAAUUCAUUACAUAACACCUACAUAGAUCGGAAUCACUCCUGCAAGGCAUAAAACACAUAUUUAGUGCAAAACACUAGUGAUUAAAGCUCAAAAUCAAUUAAAGUACAGUAAAUUAGAGUGUAAUAAGCAACUAAAAUACACAAUUAUAGCCUAUCAUCAACAACCCACACUUAAACCAUUGCUCGUCCUCGAGCAAUUAAACUGCACUUUAUAUAGACACAACCUUUUAAGCAAUUCUCCUAACUCAUCACACCAAGAUUAUUUAAAAUAGACUAAACACAAGAGUGUAACAUCUUCACCUCAAGAUUUGACUCACAAGUACCAUGCAUUAUUCGCAACUCACCCACUUACUCUAACAUAGAGGUCACUGACAUUACAUUUUCUUCAUGAAUUAAGUGCCCUCACACAAUAAAAGAGAGUAGUUCCACACACUAAAAUAUAAGAACAAUUAGGAACUCAAGAUAGAAAGAAUUCGCUCACUCUCAGAAAUAACAUUCAUAUGCCACAAAUGAUGCACCAUAGACUUGCUCGUAGUAUAUUACUCUACUAAUCGAGCUCAUUCAGUUUAGGACAAGUAGGACUUUAUUUGGUUGUAAUGUAGGCUGCGGGACAGGUAGGAUACAUUUAGAUAUAAGAGUGACUAUACCUCCCUAAGCACUUUAAUACAUAUACUUUAAUAUUACACUUAUGUCAAACCAUAACUCCACAUUCACAUCAACAUAGAUUAACUCCCCACUUCUUUAAGCACAAGUAUAUCACUAGCCACCAUCAUCUAGAAUUAUUUUUCACAACAAUACAACUAUUUUUUUUCCAAUUCAUGUGGCUCUUACUUUUUCAAAACAGUGCACUUUUCUCCUUAUUUCAUUAGUUCCACUCAAAAGCCAAACCAACCAACCACACUUUAACUUUUACAAAGUUCAUAAAAAUUCAAGUGCUCAUGAGAGGUGAAAAAGUUCCAAUACAUGGUUCAUUCAAACAAAUGGGUAAGGCUUGUAAUGUGGUUGCCAAAGAAACAGGAUUAUAGGCUCAAAGGGGUUAAUUAUGAUACAUAACAAUUAGGCGGGUCAAAUAUUUAUAUGGCUCAACAAAGAAACGCCUAUAUCACUUCCAGGACUGAACAAAACUACUAUUUCGCUUUGCAAACACACGGGGCAAGUUCUAGACAUCAAAUGCAAUGCAUAGAAUAAUACAAAACCUUACAUACACAUGGCACAUAACUCACUCAGGAUUGGACUCAUCAAGACACGCUAGUCAAAGAAGUUAAGCAAAGUUAAGAUCAUACAAUUUAAGGUACUUAUACAAGAGUUAAAAAUUGAACUUAAGCGUCACAACAAAAGUACUCACUAUUCUCAAGGCACGACAAAGUUAAAAGAUAUUGCUUCAAUUUUAAUCAUAACACAAUGGCUUCUCUCCUAAAAGAAAUAAAACUACCUACACCCGGUUCAAACAAAACCCUUUGAAAAGAACUGCUGCUCAAAGAAAAACCAAGGGUGAAUUGCUACACUACCUACGAAGAAAAUCUUUUUGUCCUUUUUCUUUAGACUUAAACCCCUCAAGAAAACUGUCUAGGAAAUCCAUCAUUGGGAAAAGUCCAUUUUUUUUUGACAAAAACUCCUACUACAAUUAAGCUAAAAUAGCACAGAAAAUCACAUAGACAAACUCUUCAUCCCACACUUAAAAUUGUGCAAUGUCCUCAAUGCACACUAUAAAUAACAAGAGGGUAAAAGAGACUCCCUGGUAGGCCAAAGGCCGAAAAAUUAGCAGCUCACAAGAUACUCAGACUUCUCCCAGGUAUGAUCCCUUGUGCAGGUAUUUCACACUUAGUUUCAAACACCUGCUCGCUUUUGCGCAUGCCUAUUGGCUUUGCCUCCUGCUUCUACUCCUACAAAACAUAAAACUAAUACUACAAAAAAAAAA
rnacentral:lncRNA from 1 species